UACGGAGGGGGCUAGGGUUGUUCGGAAUUACUGGGCGUAAAGCGCACGUAGGCGGCUUUGUAAGUUAGAGGUGAAAGCCCGGGGCUCAACCCCGGAAUUGCCUUUAAGACUGCAUCGCUAGAAUUGUGGAGAGGUAAGUGGAAUUCCGAGUGUAGAGGUGAAAUUCGUAGAUAUUCGGAAGAACACCAGUGGCGAAGGCGACUCGCUGGACAGGUAUUGACGCUGAGGUGCGAAAGCGUGGGGAGCAAACAGG
rnacentral:rRNA from 1 species